AUUUUGAAUUGUAUUAGGCGUCGUUCACAUUUGUAGUCAGACGAAGCGGUACCUCAUUAUCUUCAGAGAAUAAUAUACUAAGUGAGAUAGUUCAAGCGGCAAGGAUAUUUGGCUUUUGAGGUUGAAAUCCCUUUUUAAUUAAAAAGGGUCAGCCAAGAUGACCAUUAACUUGGGUGUUAAGGCUCUCCUCUCCUGGGUAAACAGUAUAAAGCUGUCCGACAGAGAAAUCGCUAUCGAUGAUUUACAAGAUGGC
rnacentral:lncRNA from 1 species